rnacentral:rRNA from 1 species
UAUUAAUUUGUGUUAUUUAAUAUAGAUUUUGAGUUUUUUGGCUCUGGGGAUAGUAUGAUCGCAAGAUUGAAAAUUAAAGAAAUUGACGGAAGAAUACCACAAGGAGUGGAUUGUGCGGCUUAAUUUGACCCAACGCGAGGUAACUUACCAAUAUUUUAUUAUUUUGAGAGAACGGUUUUUUGUUUGAGAAUGAUAAUAGUGGUGCAUGGCCGUUUUCAGUGGAUGCUGUGAAGU